UCACAUCAUAGUUUGUUCUCUGUGGAUAUGAUGUUCACAUCAGAGUUUGUUCUCUGUGGCUUUGAUGUUCACAGAGAACAAACUCUGAUGC
rnacentral:pre_miRNA from 1 species